AUAGAGACAUAGCCUUAUGGGGACAUGGCCGUAUGGGGACAUGGUGCUUAUAGAGAGACAUGGCCUUAUGGGGACAUGCCCUUAUGGGGACAUGGUGCUUAUAGAGAGACAUAGCCUUAUGGGGACAUGGUGCUUAUAGAGAGAUAUAGCCUUAUGGGGACAUGGCCUUAUGGGGACAUGGUGCUUAUAGAGAGACAUAGCCUUAUGGGGACAUGGCCUUUUGGGGACAUGGUGCUUAUAGAGACAUAGCCUUAUGGGGACAUGGCCUUAUGGGGACAUGGUGCUUAUAGAGAAACAUAGCCUUAUGGGGACAUGGCCUUUUGGGGACAUGGUGCUUAUAGAGACAUAGCCUUAUGGGGACAUGGCCUUAUGGGGACAUGGUGCUUAUAGAGAGACAUAGCCUUAUGGGGACAUGGCCUUAUGGGGACAUGGUGCUUAUAGAGAAACAUAGCCUUAUGGGGACAUGGUGCUUAGCACUCCCUCUUAAGGCCUAAUAACACAGUGCAGAAAUACAAUAUGGUGCUUUACAGUAGAUUGAGGUUGGAAAAGGGAUAAGACUGCAGACAAUCAUCUUUGAAGAGGACCGACAGUCAUCAGACCACAUUAUGGGAAUUACGCCACAUUAUGGUCUUCAUCAGAAUUUGACCAUGUGUGUCUUUUAUAGAGGAGAGAUUUGAUUCUAAGGACAUUGUGCAAGUUUUUUUCAACAAAAAAAAACCCAAUGUUGUGCCAAGAUUGACAAUUCAUGUUGGCGUUCUUUCUUUGGGUUUUGUAGUCAGAGUCAUGAUUGGAUGUUAUUGAUACAUGCUGACUGAUAACUUUUGAAGUGAAAGCCAUAUAACACUCAAUCCACAAAAACUGCAGGGGCCAUACUUAUGAUUUAGCAUGUUAGCAGCUAACAAGGAUGGAUUUUAACCUGAAGGGACCCAUACUUAUGAUUUAGCAUGUUAGCGGCUAACUAGCACAGGUUUAAACCUGAAAGACCCAUACUUCUGAUUUAGCAUGUUAGCGGCUAACAAGCACAGGUUUAAACCUGAAAGACCCAUACUUCUGAUUUAGCAUGUUAGCAGCUAACAAGCACAGGUUUAAACCCGAAAGACCCAUACUUCUGAUUUAGCAUGUUAGCAGCUAACUAGCACAGGUUUAAACCUGCAGGUAACAUCUUUAGCAGCUUUUCGCAUUUCCAAUUAGAAAACAUGUCUUACUUGGGAACUCUAACUGGCUCUUAAUCAAAACAAAGGAACAGUUCACUCUUUAUUUAUGUCAAAUGAACACAUGGUCAAAUUAAAGAAACGCUUCAAGAGGAAGUUGUAGUUUUCUACCAGCUCUGAUACUGUACCUAUAAAUAGAUCAAACUAAUACUUUUAACCUUAACAGUGUUCCUCACAAACUAAACCAGGGUCGUAUUCAUUAGUGCACAUCGUAGGAAAAACAUUUAACAAGGGAAAAAUGAAAAUGAGUUUCUUAUUGGACAGAUUCAAGUAGUCCCUCCCUGUUUCAGUCCAUUUUCAUCCAUUGGGUGACUAACACAACCCAGUUCCCUCUCCUCCCUCUAUUCUUCCAAUAUAAUGUGCUUCCUUCUUGUUCACAUGGCUGAUAUUGGUUUGUUCUGAGUAUUUAUAUAAUCUCCCUGUUUUUAUUUUUUAUCCUGUUUGUACAUAUGAAUAUUAAACAGCCUUGUCAUUUUCCAAUACAUAUUUGAUCAAUAAUUUUAAAUGCAAUUUUUAAUAAAAUUAUAAUAAAAUAAAAAUCUUGUUGUGAUAUUAUUCAGUGACAGAACAGAAGAGAGGUACUUGUUACCAGAGUAAUCAUAGGCAAAAACUUCAAAUUUGUAUAUAUUUGUGUGCAGCUAUAUUAGAUUCUAGUAACGUAUCAGUUUUGUCAUGGACUGGACAGCUGUCUCUAUACCAUCGUUCCUGUUCUAUACCAAACAUUACAUACAACACACACAACUAAGAGAAAAAAAUGCAAAAUUCCCAAGUUAACACAGUUGGAAGAUUCUGGGAAUAUUUUUUAUUUAAUUUUUUUUAACUAGGCAAGUCAGUUAAGAACAAAUUCUUAUUUACAGUGACGGCCUAAACCGGGCCAAACCCGGACGACGCCGGGCCAAUUGUGCUUCGCCCUAUGGGACUCCCACUCACGGCCGGGUUAUGAUACAGCCUGGAUUCUGACUCCUCAAGCACCGAGAUGCUGCGCCACUCAGGUGCCCCAAUCAUGAGGGAACAAGAACAUCCUCCAAACAGGAUCUCCAAAACAACUGGGACAGGAAGAAAAAUCAUUACAUUUCUCUACAACGAAAAUGUUGUAAAAAUCAGAGAGAAUCAAAACGUCCUCUCCCCUCCUCCGGGUCUCUCAAUUCACAGGUUGUAAAAUCUCUCAAAAUCAUGGACAGAAACAAAAUAUUUUACAGCAGUUUUAAUGAGAACAGACUUUCAUAUGCAAACCAGUGACCGUUACGGUCUGAGAAAAUAGCUCAUUUGAACUUGUAAUUUACAUGGAUAUUUUGAUGGAUUUGUGGAACAAAAAAAAAUGGGUUGCUUUUUGUAUGAACAUAACAUAUUGUACUGUACUACAGCUCUCGGGGAUAGCAUCCCAAAUGGCACCCUAUUCCCUAUAUAGUGCACUACUUUAGACCAGGAACCUAUGGACCCUAAAAGUAGUGCACUAUAUAGGGAAUAGGGCGCCAUUUGGGAUGCUCCCCUACUCUGAGACGUUUCACACCCAGUGUCCACUGAGCACACUGCAGGCCAAACGCAGUGUCCACUGAGCACACUGCAGGCCAAACGCAGUGUCCACUGAGCACACUGCAGGCCAAACGCA
ensembl:lncRNA